UAGAGCUCUAUAAAUGAAGCUUUUGAAGCUGGAGCUCUGUAAAUGAAGCUUUUGAAGCUGAUCGACAUGAGUGAUGCUCGUGAAUGUUUAUGUUGAUUGACAUGAGUGAUGCUCAUGGAUGUUGUCAUGAGUGAUGCUCAUGAAUGUUAACAUGAGCGAUGCUCAUGAAUGUUUAUGUAUGAUUGUCAUGAGUGAUGCUCAUGAAUAUUUAUGUAUGAAUGACAUGAGUAAUGCUCAUGUAUAAUUUGGAGUACUGGGCGUACUUUUGAUCACCUGGUUGGUGGCAUGAAAGAGAGUACGGGUUGUACAUUUCAUCACCUGGUUGGUGGCAUGAAUGGCUAGUUGCCAAAUGAUAUU
rnacentral:lncRNA from 1 species